GAUGAACGCUGGCGGCGUGCCUAAUACAUGCAAGUCGAGCGAACGAACGGGAAGCUUGCUUUUCUGAUGUUAGCGGCGGACGGGUGAGUAACACGUGGAUACCCUACCUAUAAGGCUGGGAUCACUUCGGGAAACCGGAUCUAAUACCGGAUAAUAUUUUGAACCGCAUGGUUCAAAAGUGAAAGACAGUCUUGCUGUCACUUAUAGGUGGUUCCUCGCUGCAUUAGCUAGUUGGUAAGGUAACGGCUUACCAAGGCAACGAUGCAUAGCCGACCUGAGAGGGUGAUCGGCCACACUGGAACUGAGACACGGUCCAGACUCCUACGGGAGGCAGCAGUAGGGAAUCUUCCGCAAUGGGCGAAAGCCUGACGGAGCAACGCCGCGUGAGUGAUGAAGGUCUUCGGAUCGUAAAACUCUUUUAUUAGGGAAGAACAUAGGUGUAAGUAAAUGUGCACAUCUUGACGGUACCUAAUCAGAAAGCCACGGCUAACUACGUG
rnacentral:rRNA from 1 species